rnacentral:rRNA from 1 species
UACAGAGGGCCCGAGCGUUAGUCGGAAUCACUGGGCUUAAAGCGUGUGUAGGCGGAUCGUUAAGUACCUUGUGAAAUCCCACGGCUUAACCGUGGAACUGCUUGGUAUACUGGCGAUCUUGAGCCACGUAGGGGCUACCGGAACAAAUGGUGGAGCGGUGAAAUGCGUAGAUAUCAGGAGGAACACCGGUGGCGAAGGCGGGAUCCUGGGCCAGUACUGACGCUGAGGAGCGAAAGCGUGGGGAGCGAACAGG